GCUCAGGACGAACGCUGGCGGCGCGCCUAACACAUGCAAGUCGAACGAGAGAUGAGGAGCUUGCUCUUCAAAUCGAGUGGCGAACGGGUGAGUAACGCGUGAGGAACCUGCCUCAAAGAGGGGGACAACAGUUGGAAACGACUGCUAAUACCGCAUAAGCCCACAGCUCGGCAUCGAGCAGAGGGAAAAGGAGCAAUCCGCUUUGAGAUGGCCUCGCGUCCGAUUAGCUAGUUGGUGAGGUAACGGCCCACCAAGGCGACGAUCGGUAGCCGGACUGAGAGGUUGAACGGCCACAUUGGGACUGAGACACGGCCCAGACUCCUACGGGAGGCAGCAGUA
rnacentral:rRNA from 1 species